rnacentral:rRNA from 1 species
GACGAACGCUGGCGGCGUGCUUAACACAUGCAAGUCGAACGGAAAGGCCCUGCUUUUUUGGUGUUCUCGAUUGGCGAACGGGUGAGUAACACGUGUGUAACCUGCCCUUGUCUUUGUGAUAACUUCAGGUAACUGGGGCUAAUACCGUAUAGGAUCUCCUGCUGCAUGUUGGUGGUUGGAUAUUUUCGGGGUUUGGGGAUGGACUCGCGGCUUAUCAGCUUGUUGGUGGGGUAGUGGCUUACCAAGGCUUUGACGGGUAGCCGGCCUGUGAGGGUGACCGGCGACAUUGGGACUGAGAGAGGGACCAGACGGGAACGGGAGGCAGCAGUGGGGAAUAUUGCACAAUGGGCGGAAGCCUGAUGAAGAAACGCCGCGUGCGGGAAGACGGCCUUCGGGUUGUAAACAGCAUGAGAAUGAGACGAAGCGGGAGUGACGGUAAUGGGUAAAGAAGCACCGGCUAACUACGUG